GGCCGGUGAGGUGGUGGAGCGGCACACCGGGCGGGAGCUGGUGGUGGGCUGGCUGGGGUUCGCCCCGGGGUUCGCCUACCUCACCGGCCU
rnacentral:tRNA from 1 species